AGUCGAACGAGGUAGCAAUACCUAGUGGCGGACGGGUGAGGAAUACGUAGGGAUCUGCCUUUAAGUGGGGGAUAACCCGGGGAAACCCGGAUUAAUACCGCAUGAUCUCGCAAGAGCAAAGAGGGGGACCGCAAGGCCUCUCGCUUUUAGAGGAACCUACGUCGGAUUAGCUAGUUGGUNNUGUAAUGGCUCACCAAGGCGACGAUCCGUAACUGGUCUGAGAGGAUGAUCAGUCACACCGGAACUGAGACACCGUCCGGACUCCUACGGGAGGCAGCAGUGGGGACUAUUGGACAAUGGGCGAAAGCCUGAUCCA
rnacentral:rRNA from 1 species